GAUGAACGCUGGCGGCGUGCCUAAUACAUGCAAGUCGAGCGAACAGAUAAGGAGCUUGCUCCUUUGACGUUAGCGGCGGACGGGUGAGUAACACGUGGGUAACCUACCUAUAAGACUGGGAUAACUUCGGGAAACCGGAGCUAAUACCGGAUAACAUUUGGAACCGCAUGGUUCUAAAGUGAAAGAUGGUUUUGCUAUCACUUAUAGAUGGACCCGCGCCGUAUUAGCUAGUUGGUAAGGUAACGGCUUACCAAGGCAACGAUACGUAGCCGACCUGAGAGGGGGAUAGGCCACACUGGAACGGAGACACGGUCCAGACUCCUACGGGAGGCAGCAGUAGGGAAUCUUCCGCAAUGGGCGAAAGCCUGACGGAGCAACGCCGCGUGAGUGAUGAAGGGUUUCGGUUCGUAAAAAUCUGUUAUUAGGGAAGAACAAACGUGUAAGUAACUGUGCACGUCGUGACGGUACCUAAUCAGAAAGCCACGGCUAACUACGUG
rnacentral:rRNA from 1 species